ACCCUCCUGAGGUAGGGGAUUUCAACAGAUGACUGCAUGUGAUAACUCAGAAAUCUAAUCUAUAUUGUGAAAUGUAUUUAAGAUGUUUUUUUUUUUUUUUUUGGUGAGCGCAACUUUCCCACAAGAGAUGUCAAAUCUUCAUAUAGAAAGACCUGCAAAGAUUCUGCAGAAAUUAUUUCAACGGCUGCACAGGAUUAACCUAGGAAUAGUGUGCCUAACGGUUUCUGAGCUCCGAGGUGAUGUCAGCCAAGAACGAUCAUUUAGCGCCAAGCCCAUCUGCUCUCCAGCCGCAGCAUCUGGCCACAAUUAGCCGGAGAAACAGACGAUAGCCAUGUUUACCUCCAGAAACAAGAGGCCUUAACUACUGCUAACACAAAGACACUGAUGAAUGGACUACUGAGUGAGGCAUGUUCUCAUAGGUACACAGAUGAUAAGACCAGGAAAAUUUACUAUUCAUCAAUAAGUCAUUGCAACAAAGCAUGCAGAAAGUAAAAGCCUCCACAGAGGCUCAGGCUGCACUGUAUCAUGCGAAUUUUGUGAAGAGGCUUUGAGUUGUGAUAAAUCCACAUUUCACACUCUCUUGUCUAACUAAUCUGUCAUUUUGAUGUUUUAAAGUCUCUCGACAACCUUUAGCAUCUUUGGGACCACCAUAAUAUAUGUGUGAGUUGUGGGCAUCUACUGGAGGGUGACUCCAUCCAACACUGAAUAUUUUAUUGGCUUACAGUGUGGAUUCCUCACACUUGAAUUAUAUAAAUUGCCAAGAAAUAUUACUUUCCAAACGGUUCCUUUGAGAUAAUGAUAUUGCACAAAUUUGUGAUAAAGCACUUCAGCUCUAUCAGAAACACAUGGAUGGAUGGAUGGAUGGAUGGAUGGAUGGAUGGAUGGAUGGAUGGAUGGAUGGAUGGAUGGAUGGGGAAUAAAGUCUGAAAACACAACUAUUUUUUCAUACUCUGUUCUCUUUUCUCAAACUUGUCCAGACUUGUAUAAUACUCAAAUAACCCAAAUUCUAUAUUUUUCCACACUGCAUGUGGGUACCCUGCUACCUGUGCAUAGAAAAAUAUUUGAAAAUAACAAAUAAAUGAAAAAAUAAUUAAUGUAAAUGUAAAACUUAAAGAUGUCUAAUUCUUCAA